CAUUACCGAGUUUACAACUCCCAAACCCCUGUGAACAUACCUUAUGUUGCCUCGGCGGAUCAGCCCGCGCCCCGUAAAAAGGGACGGCCCGCCGCAGGAACCCUAAACUCUGUUUUUAGUGGAACUUCUGAGUAUAAAAAACAAAUAAAUCAAAACUUUCAACAACGGAUCUCUUGGUUCUGGCAUCGAUGAAGAACGCAGCAAAAUGCGAUAAGUAAUGUGAAUUGCAGAAUUCAGUGAAUCAUCGAAUCUUUGAACGCACAUUGCGCCCGCCAGUAUUCUGGCGGGCAUGCCUGUUCGAGCGUCAUUUCAACCCUCAAGCCCAGCUUGGUGUUGGGAGCUGCAGUCCUGCUGCACUCCCCAAAUACAUUGGCGGUCACGUCGAGCUUCCAUAGCGUAGUAAUUUACAUAUCGUUACUGGUAAUCGUCGCGGCCACGCCGUUAAACCCCAACUUCUGAAUGUUGACCUCGGAUCAGGUAGGAAUACCCGCUGAACUUAAGCAUAUCAA
rnacentral:rRNA from 1 species